CUACCACCGUUAUAAACUACCACGGUAAUAAACGCACAUAAAAUAACUCAAUUAUCGCCUGGUAAUAAAAUAGAUAAUUGGGCAACUACUGGUGUAAGGCAUUGUGUAGCCUAUAGAAUAUGGGAAGACCAAGCACUUUGCCACAAGCCUCCAGUCCAGGCUGAAAAGGCCAAAUAAAAAUAAUAGUUGGUUUCAGGUUUCCGACCGACCUGUCAAAAAUAUGACCGACCAUAAACAUUUUAUUGACAAUUUCCAGUAGAGAUCAUCUUUUCGUAAAUCGCAGAAUAUAUAAAUAGUCAUCAGACUCAUUUGUCUACAAAUUAUUUUGUUUGCUUAUAAUUUAAUCAUUAUCUAG